GACGAACGCUGGCGGCGUGCUUAACACAUGCAAGUCGAACGGAAAGGCGCUGCUUUUGUGGGGUGCUCGAGUGGCGAACGGGUGAGUAACACGUGAGUAACCUGCCCUUGACUGUGGGAUAACUUCAGGAAACUGGGGCUAAUACCGGAUAGGAUCUCCUGCUGCAUGGUGGUGGUAGGAGAGUGUCGGCGGUUGGGGAUGGACUCGCGGGUUAUCAGCUUGUUGGUGGGGUAGUGGCUUACCAAGCCUUUGACGGGUAGCAGGCCUGAGAGGGUGACCGGCCACAUUGGGACUGAGAUACGGCCCAGACUCCUACGGGAGGCAGCAGUGGGGAAUAUUGCACAAUGGGCGGAAGCCUGAUGCAGAAACGCCGCGUGCGGGAUGACGGCCUUCGGGUUGUAAACCGCUUUCGCCUGUGACGAAGCGUGAGUGACGGUAAUGGGUAAAGAAGCACCGGCUAACUACGUG
rnacentral:rRNA from 1 species